UACGAAGGGUGCAAGCGUUGCUCGGAAUUAUUGGGCGUAAAGGGUAGGUAGGUGGUAAUAAAAGUCUGGGGUGAAAUCCCUGAGCUCAACUCAGGACGUGCCUUGGAAACUUUAUUACUAGAGUGCUGGAGAGGUUUGUAGAAUUCCCGGUGUAGCGGUGAAAUGCGUAGAGAUCGGGAGGAAUACCAGAGGCGAAGGCGACAAACUGGACAGUAACUGACACUCAACUACGAAAGCGUGGGUAGCAAACAGG
rnacentral:rRNA from 1 species